AGCACCUAUACAGUGAAACUGCGAAUGGCUCAUUAAAUCAGUUAUCGUUUAUUUGAUAGUACCUUACUACUUGGAUAACCGUGGUAAUUCUAGAGCUAAUACAUGCUAAAAAUCCCGACUUUUUGGAAGGGAUGUAUUUAUUAGAUAAAAGACCAAUGCUUCUUCGGAAGUUCUUUGGUGAUUCAUGAUAACUUUUCGAAUCGCAUGGCCUCGAGCCGGCGAUGGUUCAUUCAAAUUUCUGCCCUAUCAACUUUCGAUGGUAGGAUAGUGGCCUACCAUGGUUUCAACGGGUAACGGGGAAUUAGGGUUCGAUUCCGGAGAGGGAGCCUGAGAAACGGCUACCACAUCCAAGGAAGGCAGCAGGCACGCAAAUUACCCAAUCCCAACACGGGGAGGUAGUGACAAUAAAUAACAAUACAGGGCUUUUUAUGGUCUUGUGAUUGGAAUGAGUACAAUUUAAAUACCUUAACGAGGAACAAUUGGAGGGCAAGUCUGGUGCCAGCAGCCGCGGUAAUUCCAGCUCCAAUAGCGUAUAUUAAAGUUGUUGCAGUUAAAAAGCUCGUAGUUGAACUUUGGGCUUGGUUGGCCGGUCCGCCUCAUUGGUGUGCACUGACCCGACCGAGCCUUUCCUUCUGGACAACUAUAGUGCUUUUUAUUAAGUGCUAUAGGGAGCCAGGACUUUUACUUUGAAAAAAUUAGAGUGUUCAAAGCAGGCAUUCGCUCGAAUAUAUUAGCAUGGAAUAAUAGAAUAGGACGUACGGUUCUAUUUUGUUGGUUCUCUAGGACCGUCGUAAUGAUUAAUAGGGACAGUCGGGGGCAUCAGUAUUCAAUUGUCAGAGGUGAAAUUCUUGGAUUUAUUGAAGACUAACUACUGCGAAAGCAUUUGCCAAGGAUGUUUUCAUUAAUCAAGAACGAAAGUUAGGGGAUCGAAGACGAUCAGAUACCGUCGUAGUCUUAACCAUAAACUAUGCCGACUAGGGAUCGGGCGGUGUUCUUUUUUUGACCCGCUCGGCACCUUACGAGAAAUCAAAGUCUU
rnacentral:rRNA from 1 species